rnacentral:lncRNA from 1 species
UAAAAAUCUAAAUUCAUAUAUUCAUUCCGCUAAUUCCCCUAAAUCUGGGAUCAUAUAUUCAAAUAUGGUAACUAAAUUCAUUCGUUCAAAUUCUUUCAAAACAGCGAAGAAGACUCAGCCCAAAGGAUAAACAUCUGUAUCGUUUUUAUGCUUUCGAAUUGAAUCGUAUGUUUUUCUUGCUACCUUUCUUAAGUCCAGAUUUGGAUGUUAUUGGUUUGUCUUGGUAUCUUCGAUUUCUGGUUCAGAUCUAUGGAUUGUCAUCGCCGGCAACUGGGUUAGACAAAUUGUUUUAUGCAGAUAUCCCAUCCCCCUACUUCCGUUGGUUCCCGGAUUGAGUUUUCUUACUGAUUUGGGUUGUUCUUCCUAUUAUUUUAUUCUGUUUUCAUCUGUCCGGUUGGGUUUAUAAUAAUUAGAUUGGGUUUAUAAUAAUCAUUUUUCAUCUGUUGCUGGAAUCCAUGGCUGGGGUUGGCAGGGAUGAUCUCAAUUGACUGAUUAUUUGGUUUCGCCUAAUGUUUAUGUUUCCAAUCCUUUCAAUUUUAAUUUCCCCUAAUGUUUCCUUUUGUUAUUUGCAAAAUUAUUAUUAUUGGGAUUUUUAAAAUAAAUUUAAUUUAAUUUAAAAUAAACAAUCAUAUUUUUUUCUUAUCAGUUAUCAUGCUUAGGAUGCUAGGUGCUUUAGGUGGUUUGGGUAAUUUAUAACUCCACUGUAAUUGAUGUUGUAUGGUUUGCUUUCUAGAUCACCCCAGUUUUGAGUGGUAGCUGUCAAAUGCAAGGGUCAGUUAAUGAAAUAGACUACGACGAUCAAUUGAAUAAGGUGAGAUUACAGGGUUUCUUAUUGCUAUUUUAGCUUACUAUUAGUAUUGAUCUGAAGUUUAAUUUUAAAAUUAAUUGUCCACUCAUGAAUCUUAGAUGACAGAGUACACCAUAUCAAGAAAUUCCUUUUAUUGUAGCUGAUGUAAUUAAGAUUAGCCGUAUAUCUAUUUUAGUUGUCUAGGUAUUUUAGUUCUUUUUUUAAUUAUUUUUUUUAACUCCUUGCACUCUCUUCAUGAUACAAGAGCGAUGUUUUAUCACUACAACUGGAUCAGCUGUAUGCGUCAUUUUAUUCGUCUCUUUUUGUCUGGGUCGAUUAUGCUUUUCAUCAUUUGGUGCAUUCCUCAAACUAAAGAAAAGAAGGCUUUAUAUCCAUGUUCAUGCAUACAUUUGAGAGAACCAAUUCUGGAGUUGUAUUAAAAAAUUAGUGCUUUUGAAUGACAAGGUUUUUGAUUAAAAUUAGUGUAAAUUUUCUGAUAUAGUUUGUAAUUGUUUUAAGCGGUUUUAAUAAUCUGGGUCAUGGGAAUUUGAUGGAAUAUUGCUAACAUCAUUAUGAUUGUGUACAUGAACUUAUAGUUUAUAAAGUAAUGUGAAUUAAUAAUGGAUUUUGCAAACUAUAUUUGCAUAAACAUUUUAUGGUCACAUAAUGAAGAAUGAGAUAAAAGGGAAAAAUCUUUUUGUCUAAGCAUAUUAGUUAUUGUUUGUUUGUUGAUGCCUUUAUUUCUGUUGCUUUAUAUACCUUAUAGCAUUGUAUUUCUAAUGUAGUUUGGUAGAAUAAUUUUGGAUGCUUUGUUACUUGGUAUACAUGUAUAUUGUUUCGACCGAUAAAGCCAACAACUGUUAAAGUCAACUUGACAAAAGUGUAAGAUUGUAAGUGUGGCACGAUGAAGCCAGAUAAAAGUAGGACAGUGUGAAUGGUUCUAUGCCUGAUCAAUGGCCACAUGAAUCAUGAAAUCUAAUAAUGUAACAACAUUGUUCAGUAGGAACCGUUGAUUGGUUUCUCUUUGGUUUAGUAAUCACUACAAAUUAAAACAUUUUAGAUUUCCAUGUUAAGUGAACAGAAGAUGUAUUCAAAACAUUCCAUGCGUAAGUUAUUACUUUCACAGAUACAAAUUAAAAAGCUUAUACUACUUCUUAAAUGUGUUGAUAUGGUAUACAUAUAUGUGUGUGUCUGUGUGAUCAACUUCUUCUUAAAUGUGGUGAUACAUUAUACAUAAAUAUGUGUUUGUGUGUGUCUAUAUCUAAGGUGUCAAAUACUUCACAUUUGAUCAAGACACGACUUCUAAGUUUCUGUUUCAUCAUUUUCAUUUAAAUUUUUUCGUUCAUUCUGUCCUUUCCCUUUUAUUAGUUCUUUUAAUUAUCUAAGUUUUAGUUUGUAUUCUUUGUGUUAUCAUUGAACUAAUAUAUUUACUAGUUCCAUAUUCCUGCAAGAAGAACAUGAAGGCCCUACGUUGUGAUGAAACACGUUUAUGGAGAACAUGCACAUCUAAUAACAACAUACACACAUCAAACUCCUUGACCCUUUUUCUUCUGUAAUAUGAACAUAUGGUAAAUGUUGCAAUCUAAUUCCUAUUUAUUUUGGAUGGUUUUGAGGUCCCAAUAUAUUGGUUUUUAUACUUCAAUAGUUGCUUUCUCCAUAUUAAAGCCAUUUGUCAAUCUUUCCCAUGUUUUCGGUAUAACUAAAAUAAGCACAUUGAACUAAAUACCGAAAAUUUGGUGGGCAAGAAAAUUAUUGAUUUUUAUUGCUGUGGUUGAAGCAGGUACAGAAAAUCUGAAUGUGCUAAUGGAACUUUUUGCAAUAUAUCGAGAUUGGCAGGAGGAGAAGUCUCAAAAUAUUAGUAAAAGACAGGUUUGUUUUUCAUUCAAAGUGUGCAUUUUAGAGAAUAGUAGUGUAUGCAUGUAGAAAACUUUCCUAUGGUCAGGGCAUGGAAUAGAUCAGAUUUACAGCAAAUUCAUAUGAAUAUUGCUCUUGAACCUUUUUUUCCUGAUAUUUUAGAUAGUUUUGGAGAUUGGACGUGUCGACAAAGUGGUGUUAUUUAUUCGUGGCAGCUCCUUAAACAUACGUGAGGCCUUGAACUAAUUAGUUUCUUUUUUACCUUAAAGUUAUAUUAUGAUUUGGCAAAUAAUACUAUCGUACCCUGGUUUCAGUGUUUCAUGAAGUUUGCUUUAGAUGGUAUCAAUCACUCAUGAUCUUACUUUGCAUCUGGAAAUUUACAUUUUUUGGAUAAACAAUUUAGGAUCUGGUCUAUGUUUGCCAACUUUAUUUAACCUUCACGUUCUUCCUUUUCUUCUCUCCCUUAUUCUUCUUUUAUCUGUUUGUGGUGUUAAAUCUCACUACUGAUCAUCUAGAAAGGCACAAGACGAUGAGGAACUAUGCAGUGGUCAAGUGUCGUGUAUUUUCUCAGAUGAGGGACAACAAGAUUGGAAUCCUCACCCUUCGUACAGACCAAACUGGUUUCAAUUAAAUUUUAACAUUUCCUUUUGGUUCAGUCUAUGUAAUGUGUCAUUCAGGGGAGCUUAUAAGCAUGAACUGGUUAUAAAUUUUGGGUUGCUUUUUUGUUAUCUAUUGAAGCAAUUUUAUUAGUUUUUUAAGGGAGUGACGCAGUGUGGUGGGAUGUUAGAUUUAUAAAGAUGUGCUUGGGGCUAUGUAUUUGAUUUUGCUACAAAGUUUUGUGACUUUUGUCACUAAUAUGAAAUAGCAAUAUAGAAACAUUCACAAGUGUGCAAUAUGAAAUGGUUGUGGGGGCAUUACUUUUGGUUCCUUCAAAGGCCUCAUUUUUUUUCCCACAUCAAGUUGAGGUCACUUAAUUUGCCACUAGGUUAAAAGCAAUAGUCACAUACUUAGAGUGUAAUGUACAAAUCGGUAAACUCUCACCACUAUUCCCUAUAAUGUAUAUUCAUUUGUUUUUUUGUGUAUAAUGUAUAUACACUUACACAGAGAAACCAUUGAAAUGAUAAAAACAAAAUUUUUAUGAUCUUUAUUUACUUGUCUGUACUUUGAAUGACAUUCUAGUAUCACCAAAACUUACACAAUUCUGACUUCUGAAAUACAUUU